rnacentral:tRNA from 1 species
GGGGCCGUAGCUCAGUUGGUAGAGCGCAUCCAUGGCAUGGAUGAGGUCGCGCGUUCGAUCCGCGUCGGCUCCA